GCUAACCGUAGCCCAGACGUCGCGCGCGCGGGUUCUGAGGAGGGGGAGUGGAGGGUCUCCCUGUUGUCUGAUAGGUCUUGAUUGACUGCCCGAGGGUAAGGGAGGAGCGUGCCCUGCCAUUCUCGUUUUUGGUGUGAAGUUGAACACAAUAUUGAGUGCCCAGGAAACUCUGGAAGCAUGUGCAUUUGAGGAGGGCACUGCCUGCUGAUGUUGCUAUGGCUGGAGUACUCUGUACCGUUGGAACAAAUGCAGGUUGGAGAUCAAAGAGAUCAGUAGAAAGGUUGGGCAUGCUGAAAGUUCCAAGAAGGUUGUCAGCUAUAAAUGGCAUACUUAAGCAAGAGGAAGUUUAUUAUGCUGUUUGAACAUCUGAACAUUAGACAACUUCAAGAAAUGCCUGCAUAUGCAUCCACUGACAUGAGAGAAAUAACUUGAAAUUUCACUUUACAACACAAAUUUGAUUUGAUGAGAUCCUCCAAGAAUCCUCCUCUCCAAGGUAGAUUUUGUUUACAACAAUAAAGCAAGUAUUAAACCCA